rnacentral:rRNA from 1 species
UACGUAGGGUGCGAGCGUUAAUCGGAAUUACUGGGCGUAAAGCGUGCGCAGGCGGUUGUGCAAGACAGAGGUGAAAUCCCCGGGCUUAACCUGGGAAUGGCCUUUGUGACUGCACGGCUAGAGUGUGUCAGAGGGAUGUGGAAUUCCAGGUGUAGCGGUGGAAUGCGUAGAUAUCUGGAGGAACAUCGGUGGCGAAGGCGGCAUCCUGGACCGGUAUUGACGCUGAGGCGCGAAAGCCAGGGGAGCAAACGGG